rnacentral:rRNA from 1 species
CCUACGGGUGGCAGCAGUGAGGAAUAUUGGUCAAUGGGCGCGAGCCUGAACCAGCCAAGUAGCGUGAAGGAUGACUGCCCUACGGGUUGUAAACUUCUUUUAUAAAGGAAUAAAGUGAGGCCCGUGUGCCUUUUUGUAUGUACUUUAUGAAUAAGGAUCGGCUAACUCCGUGCCAGCAGCCGCGGUAAUACGGAGAAUCCGAGCGUUAUCCGGAUUUUUUGGGGUUCAAGGGAGCGUAGAUGGGUUGUUAAGUCAGUUGUGAAAGUUUGCGGCUCAACCGUAAAAGUGCAAUUGAUACUGGGAGACUUGAGGACGGGUAGGGUAGGUGGAAGUCGUGGUGUAGCGGUGAAAUGCUUAGAUAUCACGAAGAACUCCGAUUGCGAAGGCAUCGUACCAAAGUAACACUGACGCUGAGGCUCGAAAGUGUGGGUAUCAAACAGGAUUAGAUACCCGAGUAGUC